UGGCGGACGGGUGAGUAACGCGUGAGCAACCUGCCUUUCAGUGGGGGACAACAGUUGGAAACGACUGCUAAUACCGCAUAAUAUCCUUUUGGGGCAUCCCUUUUGGAUCAAAGAUUUAUUGCUGAAAGAUGGGCUCGCGUCUGAUUAGCUAGUUGGUGGGGUAACGGCCCACCAAGGCGACGAUCAGUAGCCGGACUGAGAGGUUGAACGGCCACAUUGGGACUGAGAUACGGCCCAGACUCCUACGGGAGGCAGCAGUGGGGAAUAUUGGGCAAUGGGGGAAACCCUGACCCAGCAACGCCGCGUGAGGGAAGAAGGUCUUCGGAUUGUAAACCUCUUUUACCAGGGAAGAAGAAAGUGACGGUACCUGGAGAAAAAGCCACGGCUAACUACGUGCCAGCAGCCGCGGUAAUACGUAGGUGGCAAGCGUUGUCCGGAUUUACUGGGUGUAAAGGGCGUGUAGGCGGGAAGACAGGUCAGAUGUGAAAUGCCGGGGCUCAACUCCGGAGCUGCAUUUGAAACCGUUUUUCUUGAGUAUCGGAGAGGCAGGCGGAAUUCCUAGUGUAGCGGUGAAAUGCGUAGAUAUUAGGAGGAACACCAGUGGCGAAGGCGGCCUGCUGGACGACAACUGACGCUGAGGCGCGAAAGCGUGGGGAG
rnacentral:rRNA from 1 species